GGGGAGUGUCGUGAAACCUGUCCAGAGGGCUAUUUAUAUUCCUCGAAGGGAACAUGUGAUCCCUGCCCUCCAAACUGCACUGUGUGUACUUCUACAGGCCACUGUCUCCACUGCACCCCCUCUUACUACCCUAAAGAAGGAUGAAGCAGCUGACUGAUCAUGAAGACUGUGUAACCUUGUGAGGAGGGCUGUCAGCAAUGCCUCACUGGCUGAAAUUGAGCUGACACAAGAUGUGCCCUGAGAGGACUUUGGAGGACAAGUUGUCCACGAGGUGUGCUCGAUGUAAGGAAGACUUGUUCCUGUCAGGUCAGGGUGAGUGUGAGCAGUGUGAUUCCUCCUGAAGGACAUGUUCAGGGCAUCGGGAAGACCAGUCUGAUUCCUGUCGGGAAGUUCCUCUGUGGACGUCUCCAGCAGAUCAUGUCAAGAGUGUGACCACACAUGUAAGGAAUGCUCAGGAAGCAGCCGUUUCUGUCUCAACUGUAGAGAUGGAUACUCUCUGUUGAGAAAGUUGCAGUACUAGCUCCGUUUAGAAUGUUCUUCAAUGGGAUGAGUGCAGUUCUGUUUAUUAACUGCUAGAGCGGUCUUAAAUUGUGUUUUCUGAAGAUAAAAUAAGCUUUUACGGGAUUGGAACGACGGGGGGUAAGUUAUUCAUGACUAAAUUUUCAUUUUGGAAUGGAGUAUUCCUUUAAUUUUGUUUUGUCACUCCUUUUCUUUAAAAAAGGAAAGUGGAUGCAUUAAGUCUGUAAAUGUUUAAAUACUCAGUGUUUCAAUAGUACAGCAGUAGUUACUUAGCAAUAUUAAAAAAAUUUAAGUUUGCUGUUAAACAGCUUCAUCUUUCUGCUUUGAACGCUUUCAAAAAUUGUCCCCAUUCACUUCCAUUGUAAGUUCUUUUUAUCGUAACUUUGAGAAAGUAGUUUUUCAUGUUUAAACAUUUUAAAUCCAUGUUAGACAGUCUUUAGUACAAUCAGAGUGCAGAUGAUGUGAUUUGUGUACCUCGGCGGGAUUUAUCUGGUCUGUCAUGUGAUCGGCAGGCCCUGGUGUGAUCUCCUUAACGUCAUGUUUUGACAGUUUCAGAUGUUUGGAGGAAUCUGCUCAUCUACGCGUCUAAAUGGGGAAUAUCUCAUCCGUGUGAAUAUGUCACAUGUGGCCCAUGUGACCCAUGCUGUAAUGAAUGUAGAGGUCCGGGACCACACGGCGCCUCACAGAGUAAUGACAGCAUGCCAUCAAUGCCUGAACCGGCCAUGUAAGGUUCACACAAUGCAGUAUCUUUCGAUAACACUGACUCAAAGCGGGACAUGUUACUAAAUUAUGGUUUAUACAGUUUUAAACAUUGUACAUUUUGAAAAUGUGAUUUUUUUAUUUUUUUUACUUUCAGUGUGAAGCCAUUGACUUUUAACCUCUCGUUUCUCAGAUGAAUGCAUUGUUGCACUGAGCUACAGCCUCAUCAGCAAUGAUCCAGUGACUUCAGUUUAUCCAGGUCUUUUUGUUUUACCUGUAAUAUUUGUGCUGGUGAGCUUGUUGCUUGCCAUUUUUCUCCUCCUGCAUUUUCAGCAGAUCACUUUAAAGCACGCCACGGCUCAAAUAGAACGGCUACACCAAAAUCACCUCUGAGACACCUCAGCGACAGCAUGCAGGAAGAGUAUUGUCAUAAAGACGCAGGCCAAGAGGUACUCUAGGACAUUGUGUACAUGGGGAGGGACAGGAUGGUUGGAUGGAGAUGAGGAGGUGGAGCUGGAAUAUGAUGAUAUGUAUACUCUCGCAUAAAACACAACAAGCCUGUUUAUUCUUUGAGAUAUGCAUAUCAAUACUUUAUUUAUUAUCAUUUUGACAUGCAGAAACCCACUAAUCCUCACCAGUCAACCAUUAAAGAAAUAGUUCUCCCAAGAUAUCACAGUUCUGUCAUAUUUACUCACCGUGAUGUUGUUCUAAACCCAUAUGAUUCGAUUUCUUCUGUUGAACACAAAAGAUGAUAUUCAGCAAAAUGUCCAAGUUGCUCUUUUACAUACAAUAAAUGGUUACCAUGAA